CCAGAUCCCACUCGGACCCUUUUUUCCGUCCCGACCAAUCUGAGUCUGUCAAGAUACGCUUUGCAGCGAAAACCAAACCAAACACAACUAGUUAGCUGUCACACAGUUCAAAGCGGGCUCCACAAGUCGCGCAUAAACCUCACUAUAUAAGCACCACCGAACAUUUAACCGAGUCAUUGCCAAUAACUUGCUUACUGAAUCAAUUCUUUGUUUUCACAUAUAGUUCUUGCUUCUUGUUUUUCUUCAGCAGUUAAUAUUAACACAGAUGGGGCAAAUUAGCAGCUUUAAGUCAGUCAUGAUGGUGUUCGUUUUGGCAGCUUUUGCAAUGGCUGCUGCUUCAGCUCAAAGCACCGAGAUGGCCCCGGCACCAUCUCCUUCAUUGGACACCGGAGCAGCCUCUUCUCUUCCGGUUUCCGGUGCUGUUAUUGCAUCUUCGCUGUUUGUUUCUCUUCUCGCUCUCCUGAAGCACUAAGUCGUUUGGUAAUGGAAGAAAAUCAUAGUUAUUACUAAGAUAUUAUUUUCGAGGAUGAUUGGAGAUUAAUGUAUUGAAUUAUUCAUUUGUUCGUUUCAUAUUUCAUACUAUUAAUGACAUAAUAAUACUUAUUCUUUCUGUAUUCAUUUGGUUUUUCUUUUGAGUUCAAUCACUUGUAGUUUAUUAUUAUUAUUAUUUAAGUAGUAUGUUAAUUUCUAACGAGAACAAGUUAAGGCCUGAGUUGGUAUUAAAGUUGGACAAUCGGAACUUAAAAUUAUGAUUAGAUUACACUUGUUCAAAUAAUAAUAUAAAGUGAAAAUAUCUCCAAAUGGUUCAUUUAAUAUUUUUUUAGGUACUUAUUUACUUAAAUAUGUGACAAAUAGAACAGUAAAAAAUAAAUUUUCUUAAAUACUCUUUGAAUAAAAAUAAAUUUAUGUUAAAUUAUAUUAUUUUUAAUAAUAUAAUUAUAUUAUUUCUAUCUUUUCAAUAUUGAUAAUAUAAAAAAUAUAAUAUUAUUUGAAGAGAAAACAAUCACUUUUCAAUAUUGAUAAGAAAGGAGGAUAAUCUUAUUUAAAGGGAAUUUUAAAACUUUACUAUUGAUAAGAAAGGAGGAUAAUCUUAUUUAAAGGGAAUUUUAAAACUUUACUAUUGAUAAGAAAGGAGGAUAAUCUUAUUUAAAGGGAAUUUUAAAACUUUACUAUUGAUAAGAAAGGAGGAUAAUCUUAUUUAAAGGGAAUUUUAAAACUUUACUAUUGAUAAGAAAGGAGGAUAAUCUUAUUUAAAGGGAAUUUUAAAACUUUACUAUUGAUAAGAAAGGAGGAUAAUCUUAUUUAAAGGGAAUUUUAAAACUUUACUAUUGAUAAGAAAGGAGGAUAAUCUUAUUUAAAGGGAAUUUUAAAACUUUACUAUUGAUAAGAAAGGAGGAUAAUCUUAUUUAAAGGGAAUUUUAAAACUUUACUAUUGAUAAGAAAGGAGGAUAAUCUUAUUUAAAGGGAAUUUUAAAACUUUACUAUUGAUAAGAAAGGAGGAUAAUCUUAUUUAAAGGGAAUUUUAAAACUUUACCUCAUUCCGGUUGUACGAUCAUGCUUUAAAAUGUGUACGGGUCUCGUAUCAAUGUCCCAAAUAGUCUAAAUGUUUUGCUUACCAUAUUCUAAUUAAUAAUAAAUUGACAUUUUGAUGAUAUUUUAAAAAAGAUUCGAAAUUGAAAUGAAAAACAUCCAAGAUACAAUUAAAAUUGCUAAUUCUCUAGUAUCAAAGAUCUAAUUUACAAAUAAAUCAGAAUAUUGAAUUUGAAAAUUUGAUGUAAAAUAAAAAAUUAAAAAAAAAUGGUUGAAAUGGGAUCCAGUUGAGAUUUUGAGAUUUUAAUUUCUUAUUGUCUCUUAAUCAGUUAAAUGAAACUGUUUAAAAACUAUUAAAUCAAGCACCUCUAGGGGCAGAAGAGCUUGAGUUUAUUUGCCAAGAUUAAGGAUUAAUUUCAGUUUUGCUCUUCAAUUUGUAAAAACAUCUGCUAAGCCCACGCUCUAAUUAGUUGCCACCAAUUUAAAGAAAAAAAUUACGAGAUAUGCAAUUUUGUUUUAAGAAAUGUUAACUAAUUAUUUUUUAUUUGAUACAAGAAAAUUGCAACAGCAUGCCUACAGAUUCUUAUAAAAAAAAAUAAAAGAAUGAGUCAUCAAUGGGCCCGUUUAAUGGAAAUUAAGAUUUUUUAUAGAUUUUUUUUCUAAGUAGUAAAGAAGAAAAACCAAAUGAAUAAAGUGAAAAAAAAAGAUGAAAUAUUAUUAAUUAAUAAUUUAUUGAUAAUACAAAUAUUGAUAACAAACAAGCAAAGAAUAAAUGCAAUACUAUAUCUCCAUUUCCUCAAAAUACAACCUCUUUUUUUACACACAACGAAUUUCCAUUCAAUGCUUCAGCAGGGCAAGAAGAGAUAAAACGAGGGAAGAACCAACGACGGCAAGAGAAACCGGCAGAGAGAAGCCGGCUCCGGUAUCCAUCGAAGGAGCCGGCGCCGGCGCCAUCUCGGUACUUUGCGCCGACACGGAAGCAGCCAUUGUAAAAGUUGCCAAAACCAACCCCAUCAUCGCAUUCACGGCCUUUUUUGAGCUACUAACUGUCGCCAUUGUAUUAUAUAUAUACUGUUAAAAGUGUUGAAGAACUUGAAACUGCUAUCCGAGCUUACAAGUGGUUCGGUUCAACGUUUGUGAUGGUUAUAUAUAAGAGCUUCUUUUCGUCUGAGGUAGCCACGUGCAGGUACAGCAAUGCCGCGUAUAUAUAUACGUGUUGGUGAUGAUUGGUCUACGGGUUGGUGAGCAGCGUAUAAACAUAUAUAAUCAUGAUAUCCAGUUCCAGUUUUGGAGGUCUGUAGGCACUGACAGGUUUGGUUAAUGGAGCAAUUAAGGCAGUACACUAACUGGUGUCUAGCUUUCAUUUGGGAAGUGAUUAUACGACUGCGAAAAAUAGAUCAGGAUCCUAUAUUAUAUGAUGACUCGUAUAUAAAUAUUUUUAUUUCUUGAAUAUUUGUCUAUUCACUCUUGAAACAAAUGGAAGACUACCGUGCAUUAGCACAAAUCCUGUGGGUUGAGUGUCUUUUUAACUCUUGGCUUUAUAUGUUUAUAAAAUUGUAGAUUAUACAAUACAUACACAUGGUGGCACCUCUUAAAACUUUCUUAAUGUGAUGAUUUUGCCAAGAAAUUAAUUUGUGCCGAACUGUCUUAUUAGCUAAACAUGUUGAGGUAAUGAAACAGUUUAAAGUUGGCAGAGCGAUGAGUUUUAUUGUAAGAUUCACUGAUAUUUUUAAUAUUAAAUUUAAUACAUCUUAUUAUAAGAAUUACUAUUGAUCCCAUAAUAAGACUACUGUUAUGUCACAUGACAAAACACUACUAGAUUGUCUCAGAUAACCUCACAAAAGUCCUUCUCUAUUGCCAAAUUUGUAUAGCAAAUUCCUAUUGAAUCAUGUAUCCAUGACCUUAAGUAAUUAAAAGGAAAUAAAAAUAAUGACAAGGAAGGAAUUAAGGGGAAAAAAAAUAACUCUCGUCUAAGAUUGUACUAUAUAAAUAGAUAAUAUAUUAAGAUUUUAACUAGUAGUGACCGACCAUUUUCUCAUCUAACAAAAGAGAGAUAGGUCAUUAGAGGAGUAAGAAUUAUCCUUCAAAUUAUUAUAAUACUUUUUUUUAUAAAUCAAACGCUAAGUUAGGCAUCAAAGGGUCAUCAAUAAAUAGAAGAUGGAUACUCAGAACUUUAGGAACGAAUCAUUUCUUAGAAAUGGAGGAUUUGGAGCCCCUUCAAUACUUUUUUUUUUUUUAAUUUAAUGAUCUUUACCCACUGUCAAUCUGUAGAUUCUAACCAAUUCAUUACACAUGCUUGUAAACUACAUAUUUAAGGCACGCAACCGUUUACCGACUUAACAAUGGUCAACAUCGUGAGUCCAACUACCACGUGCCAACGUGUUCCAGAUCCCACUCGGUCCCAUGUUUUUAGUUCCGACCAAUCUGAGUCUGUCAAGAUACGCUUUGGGCGAAAACCAAACCAAACACAACACGUUUGCCGUCACACAGAUCGAAGCGGGCUCCACAAGCCGCGCAUACACCUCAUGACCUCACUAUAUAAGCACCACCUAACAUUUAACGGAGCCAUUGCCCAUAACUUGCUUACUGAAUCAAUUCUUUGUUUUCAUAUAUAGUUCUUGCUUCUUGUUUUUCUUCAGCAAUUAAUAUAAAUAUAGAUGGCGCAAAUUAGCAGCUUAAAGUCCGUUAUGAUGAUGUUCGUUUUGGCAGCUCUUGCAAUGGCUGCUGCUUCAGCUCAAAGCACCGAGAUGGCGCCGGCACCGGCUCCUUCAUCGGACACCGGAGCAGCCUCCUCUCUGCCGGUUUCCAGUGCUGUUAUUGCAUCUUCACUCUUUGUUUCUUUUCUUGGCCUCCUGAAGCACUAAGUCGUUUGGUAACGGAAGAAAAUCAAAAUUAUUACUACGAUAUUAUUUUCGAGGAUGAUUGGAGAUUAAUGUAUUGAAUUAUUUAUUUGUUCGAUUAAUAUUUCAUACUAUUAAUGGCAUAAUAAUACUUAUUCUUUCUGUAUUCAUUUGGUUUUUCUUUUGAGUUCAAUAACUUGUAGUUAUUAUUAUUAUUAUUAUUAUUUAAUAUAUAUGCUUAUAAUUAGUGUGUUAAUUUCCAACGAGAACAAGUCGAGGCUUGAUUUGGUAUUGAGAUUAGAUAAUCGGAGCUUAAAAUUACAAUAAGGUUGUACUUGUCCAAAUAAUACUACGCAAGUGAAUCUUCAAAAGACUAAUUUAAUAUUACUUUUUAGAUAUUUAUUUAUUUAAAUGUGUGACAAAUAGAAGUGAGAAAAAAUAAGUUUUUUU
rnacentral:lncRNA from 1 species